GGAACCUUCUGUUGCUGCCACCCAGGGUGAGAAGCAGCCUUCCAAGAGAGGGUGAACUGCAGUGGGCCCCAAAAAGGUGCAGGGGGCACCAACAGGUGUUUGCAUUUGUGGUUUCAAUGGGGACAGGAUUUCUUAAUUAGUAAGACCUGAAAAGAUCCUGGUAAAAAACCAGGGCUGAAAUCAAUCAGCAGACAAAGCCAAGUGGAUUUCUGCACAUCUAAAGGCAGGAAAAGAAAUAGCACAAGAUCCUCUCAGUGCUGCAGAGAGGAGGAUUUUACUGCUGCUGAGCAAAGGCUGUGUGCAGCAUCUCCACAUGCCGGCAAAGGUGGGAUGACCCAGUGGCUGGAGCAGAAAGAAUAUCUUGGAUUAGGUGGCUGCAAAUGAGAGGUUUCAGUCAUGGAAUGGGAUGAGCUGCAGCUUGUGGCUGUUCAAGCUCAGCAGUGCUAAAACGUGACAUGGGCUCGCAGAGGACACGUGCAGCCCGUGGAGUGAACUGCAACCUGAACAGCUCUCCCAGCAGCUGAGGCUCCGUGUCCUUCUAGUAAUAAAUUCCUCCUGGACAGUGUUUCAGGGGAUUGCUAGGAUUUGAGGAGAGAGGAGGCUGGCUGGAAGCAAGACAGGCUCCAGGUUUAUCCUUGAAAGCCCCUGUGCUGCAGAGCCUGGGGCUGCCUUUGGCAGCCUGCCUGGAGGAAGAUGUCAGUGGAGGCUGAAGGCUGCCUCGUGCUGUAUGAGCCCACCAAUCCCCUCCUCGGCCAGCUAAGUUGGAGAUAAAUCUCCCUAUUAGCAAUGCGUAAAGCAGGCCAAAAUUCGAACAGCUUCUUAAGCAGGAGGUGAAUCAAAAGCUCAAAAUAACUUUAAAUAAGUCCUUUCUGUGCUCCGGGCUAGAAAGUGGUUGUUUUGGAGCUUUCCCAUAGUGUGCCUGGCCUGCCUGUGGGGAGAGAGGGGUUGCUGAGCAAGGCAGCAAAAUCAGGUAAAAAAUAACCCCAUCCCCAACGUCAGCAGCAGAGCUGAGAGGAACCAGAAGUCCUGAGCUGUUUCGAAGUUGUGUUAAAUAAUAAAGCAGAGAAAUGAAUAAAUUAGCUGAGCAUCUAUUUAGGUCAGCCCUCUCCGUUUCUCCCCGCCGCCUCCGUGUGCCUCCUCCCCGCAGCCAUCAGCUGCUCGGUGCCUGCGGCUCCGCUCCCUCCGCGGGAGCCGCCGGGCUCUCGCAAGUGCGGCUUCAGCAGGUGCCACAUCGCCUGCACACGUUCCCCCAGCCUUCGGAAGCGGCAGGCCAGCUCCCCUUUCCGACACUGGGGCAAAAAAUGUUCUGGAAAAUCCCGUUAAAGCAGCACCAAGCGUGGGCAGCGCGCACGGCUGCUCCCCUGCUGGCGCUGUCCCCGCACGGAGCUGCAGGUCCUGCUCCUCCCGGUGCAGCUGCAUCUCCCUGCCCCGCUGCUCCACUGCGGUCACCACCCAGCUGCUUCAUUCCCAGCUUCCAACCACCUCCACCUUUGCAGGCCAUCGGUAUCCCAGGCUCGGUUAUGUGAUUGCAAUUGUCAUCUUUUGAUUUAGGGAUGACCAGGCUGGUUGACACAGAUGGAGAAUCAGCUUUUAAACCUCUAAGCUCCCCUUAAAUCAUUCAAAUGCUUCCAGAAAAACGGAACAACCAUGCAGUCCUGUAUAUAUGCCCUUAUUUACAUGUUUCCCAAGCAUGAAAUGCCAGAACAUGUCAUCAGUUUUGGCUAUAAGCAAGCUGGAUAAACACUGACCAAGAUGGAAUUAUCUACAUCAAGGGCUGCUCCAUCUCAGCCCAGCUCCUGCUGAUCCUCCCAAACCCCACAGGUAGCUGGAGAAGGUCUCCAGCGAUGAACCCUGCCAGAAGCAGCAUCCAGGGUGUAGGCAAUGGAAAAUGAGAUGUUUCUAAGUUUGGCCAGGCUCAGCUGGCUCCUUGCAGGUCCCAGCCUGUGAGUCACUGCU